UGCAAGUCGAGCGAACUGAUUAGAAGCUUGCUUCUAUGACGUUAGCGGCGGACGGGUGAGUAACACGUGGGCAACCUGCCUGUAAGACUGGGAUAACUCCGGGAAACCGGAGCUAAUACCGGAUAACAUUUUCUCUUGCAUAAGAGAAAAUUGAAAGAUGGUUUCGGCUAUCACUUACAGAUGGGCCCGCGGUGCAUUAGCUAGUUGGUGAGGUAACGGCUCACCAAGGCAACGAUGCAUAGCCGACCUGAGAGGGUGAUCGGCCACACUGGGACUGAGACACGGCCCAGACUCCUACGGGAGGCAGCAGUAGGGAAUCUUCCGCAAUGGACGAAAGUCUGACGGAGCAACGCCGCGUGAGUGAUGAAGGCUUUCGGGUCGUAAAACUCUGUUGUUAGGGAAGAACAAGUACAAGAGUAACUGCUUGUACCUUGACGGUACCUAACCAGAAAGCCACGGCUAACUACGUGCCAGCAGCCGCGGUAAUACGUAGGUGGCAAGCGUUAUCCGGAAUUAUUGGGCGUAAAGCGCGCGCAGGCGGUUUCUUAAGUCUGAUGUGAAAGCCCACGGCUCAACCGUGGAGGGUCAUUGGAAACUGGGGAACUUGAGUGCAGAAGAGAAAAGCGGAAUUCCACGUGUAGCGGUGAAAUGCGUAGAGAUGUGGAGGAACACCAGUGGCGAAGGCGGCUUUUUGGUCUGUAACUGACGCUGAGG
rnacentral:rRNA from 2 species